rnacentral:rRNA from 1 species
CCUUCGGGGUGGAUCAGUGGCGAACGGGUGAGUAACACGUGGGCAAUCUGCCCUGCACUCUGGGAAACCCGGGGAAACCCGGGCUAAUACCGGAUACGACCCUCCAGGGCAUCUUGGGGGGUGGAAAGCUCCGGCGGUGCAGGAUGAGCCCGCGGCCUAUCAGCUGGUUGGUGGGGUAACGGCCCACCAAGGCGACCACGGGUAGCCGGCCUGAGAGGGCGACCGGCCACACUGGGACUGAAACACGGCCCAGACUCCUACGGGAGGCAGCAGUGGGGAAUAUUGCACAAUGGGCGCAAGCCUGAUGCAGCGACGCCGCGUGAGGGAUGACGGCCUUCGGGUUGUAAACCUCUUUCAGCAGGGAAGAAGCGCAAGUGACGGUACCUGCAGAAGAAGCACCGGCUAACUACGUGCCAGCAGCCGCGGUAAUACGUAGGGUGCGAGCGUUGUCCGGAAUUAUUGGGCGUAAAGAGCUCGUAGGCGGCUUGUCGCGUCGGUCGUGAAAGCCCGGGGCUUAACCCCGGGUCUGCGGUCGAUACGGGCAGGCUAGAGUUCGGUAGGGGAGAUCGGAAUUCCUGGUGUAGCGGUGAAAUGCGCAGAUAUCAGGAGGAACACCGGUGGCGAAGGCGGAUCUCUGGGCCGAUACUGACGCUGAGGAGCGAAAGCGUGGGGAGCGAACAGGAUUAGAUACCCUGGUAGUCCACGCCGUAAACGUUGGGCACUAGGUGUGGGCGACAUUCCACGUCGUCCGUGCCGCAGCUAACGCAUUAAGUGCCCCGCCUGGGGAGUACGGCCGCAAGGCUAAAACUCAAAGGAAUUGACGGGGGCCCGCACAAGAGGCGGAGCAUGUGGCUUAAUUCGACGCAACGCGAAGAACCUUACCAAGGCUUGACAUACACCGGAAACGGCCAGAGAUGGUCGCCCCCUUGUGGUCGGUGUACAGGUGGUGCAUGGCUGUCGUCAGCUCGUGUCGUGAGAUGUUGGGUUAAGUCCCGCAACGAGCGCAACCCUUGUUCUGUGUUGCCAGCAUGCCCCUUCGGGGGUGAUGGGGACUCACAGGAGACUGCCGGGGUCAACUCGGAGGAAGGUGGGGACGACGUCAAGUCAUCAUGCCCCUUAUGUCUUGGGCUGCACACGUGCUACAAUGGCCGGUACAAUGAGCUGCGAUACCGCGAGGUGGAGCGAAUCUCAAAAAGCCGGUCUCAGUUCGGAUUGGGGUCUGCAACUCGACCCC